ACAUGCAGAGAACUUUCCAGAGAUGGAUUGGUGCCUUCGGGAACUCUGACACAGGUGCUGCAUGGCUGUCGUCAGCUCGUGUCGUGAGAUGUUGGGUUAAGUCCCGUAACGAGCGCAACCCUUGUCCUUAGUUACCAGCACGUUAUGGUGGGCACUCUAAGGAGACUGCCGGUGUUAAACCGGAGGAAGGUGGGGGAUGACGUCAAGUCCUCAUGGCCUUUAUGACCAGGGCUACACACGUACUACAAUGGCCGAUACAAAGGGCAGCGACACUGCGAGGUGAAGCCAAUCCCGUAAAAUCGGUCUCAGUCCGGAUUGGAGUCUGCAACUCGACUCCAUGAAGUUGGAAUCGCUAGUAAUCGUGGAUCAGCAUGCCACGGUGAAUACGUUCCCGGGCCUU
rnacentral:rRNA from 1 species